GCUCACUCCCUCAUCUUCGGAUGAAAUGGGGAGCCUCUGCCUUUCGGUUCUCUUGGAACAAGACGGAAGAGAGUCACUCUUACCGUCGUGCAUACCUUAAGCGGGUCUGCCGCCUUCGUUUCUCUUUCUUCGCGAAUGACUUUGAUUGCGCUCGCGCGCCGCAUCGCACCCUUUGGGUGCUGGCGCUCCGCGAGGGCGCGGCACGAGCCGCGACGGCCGCCGGUUUUAGUUAGAUUGGCGGCCUUGCGAGGCUCUGCCUCGAAGCUGGCUACCAUCUGCGCUUGGGGCUUAGGGCUUGUAGCUCAGUUGGUUAGAGCGCGCGCUUGAUAAGCGUGAGGUCGGAGGUUCAAGUCCUCCCAGGCCCACCACUUCCUCGACAAAAGGUAUCAGGGGCCGUAGCUCAGCUGGGAGAGCGCCUGCUUUGCAAGCAGGAUGUCGUCGGUUCGAUCCCGUCCGGCUCCACCAUUACCUUGGUGUUGAGUAGAGAUGUGAAACCGGCCGAGAAAAAGUCAUUCGUUUAAGAGUUUGCGGCGAGCUUCUUGGCUCUCCGCCUGUUCUGUAUGACAUCGUAAAGAGAAGAUUUGUUCGAACUUCAUAUCCCCAAAAGGGAUCAUGAUUUGUCGCGGGAGACGCUCAAUCUCCCGCAUAUGAUGGGUUUGCCUAACCGCACCCUCGAACCGAUCUCGAGAAGCUGGUCUUUUUGUGCCAAUGACAUCAAGCCAAGUCCUGCACAGGAUUUGGCUGAAGCGACGAUCCCUUUGGGAUCGCGCGGAGGCGACAAUCCUUUGGGUUUGUGGCUGAAGCGACGAUCUCUUUGAGAUUGCGCGGUGGGUAUUGGCAAUGAGAACGAUCAAGUGUCUUAAGGGCAAUUGGUGGAUGCCUUGGCAUGCACAGGCGAUGAAGGACGUGAUACGCUGCGAUAAGCUACGGGGAGGUGCG
rnacentral:misc_RNA from 1 species